CACUCUGCUUCAUACACAGGCCAGUGAUUCUCUGUGAGCGUUGUUCCCAAAGAAGCUGCUAGUACUAGCAGGGGAAAGGAGAAAAGCUGAAAAUAUAUAAGCUGCAUUUAGGCUUUAUCUUUGGAAGUAAUUUUUCUGCCACUGCCAAGAGAUCUUUAAAGGCUGGUGGGAAGCUGAUAUGAAAAACUCUGUUGGGGUUCUUGAUUGCGAGUGGCUGCACGAAGAGUCCCGGUCAGAAGGAGCUGACAUGCUGCGGAGAAAGACGGGCUGCCGGACAACAGGCGAUAUCACCUUCGUUUCCGAGGCUGACUUACAUGCUGGAAUGAACGAAACACACUGACUCAUCACUUCUGCUAAGACAUCGAACAACUGUAUUUAUUGAAAAAAUUACUGCUAAAGAUAAAGCCUAAAUGCAGCUUA